ACUACGGGAGGCAGCAGUGAGGAAUAUUGGUCAAUGGGCGUAAGCCUGAACCAGCCAAGUCGCGUGAGGGAUGAAGGUUCUAUGGAUCGUAAACCUCUUUUAUAAGGGAAUAAAGAGCGGGACGUGUCCCGUUUUGUAUGUACCUUAUGAAUAAGGAUCGGCUAACUCGGUGCCAGCAGCCGCGGUAAUACGGAGGAUCCGAGCGUUAUCCGGAUUUAUUGGGUUUAAUAGGUGCGUAGGCGGCCUUUUAAGUGAGUGGUGAAAGUCUUGGGCUCAACCAUAGAAUAUCAGUUGAACCUGGGAGGCUUGGGUAUGUUUGAGGCAGGCGGAAGGCGUGGUGUAGCGUUGAAAUGCUUAGAUACCACGCAGAACCCCGAUUGCGAAGGCAGCCUGCCAAGCCAUGACUGACGCUGAUGCACGAAAGCGUGGGGAUCAAACAGGAUUAGAUACCCGUGUAGUC
rnacentral:rRNA from 1 species